rnacentral:rRNA from 1 species
UACAGAGGGUGCAAGCGUUAAUCGGAGUUACUGGGCGUAAAGGGCGCGUAGGCGGUUUUAUAAGUGAGAUGUGAAAGCCCUGGGCUUAACCUAGGAACUGCAUCUUAAACUGUAGAGCUGGAGUACUGUAGAGGGUAGUGGAAUUUCCGGUGUAGCGGUGAAAUGCGUAGAGAUCGGAAGGAACACCAGUGGCGAAGGCGGCUACCUGGACAGAUACUGACGCUGAGGCGCGAAAGCGUGGGGGGCAAACAGG